AUUGAACGCUGGCGGCAGGCCUAACACAUGCAAGUCGAGCGGCAGCGGGACCUUCGGGUUGCCGGCGAGCGGCGGACGGGUGAGUAAUGCCUAGGAAUCUGCCUGUUAGUGGGGGAUAACGCGGGGAAACUCGCGCUAAUACCGCAUACGUCCUACGGGAGAAAGCGGGGGCUCUUCGGACCUCGCGCUAACAGAUGAGCCUAGGUCGGAUUAGCUAGUUGGUGGGGUAAUGGCCCACCAAGGCGACGAUCCGUAACUGGUCUGAGAGGAUGAUCAGUCACACUGGAACUGAGACACGGUCCAGACUCCUACGGGAGGCAGCAGUGGGGAAUAUUGGACAAUGGGCGAAAGCCUGAUCCAUCCAUGCUGCGUGUGUGAAGAAGGUCUUCGGAUUGUAAAGCACUUUAAGUCGGGAGGAAGGGCUGUAGGCUAAUACCUUGCAGUUUUGACGUUACCGACAGAAUAAGCACCGGCUAACUUCGUGCCAGCAGCCGCCGCGG
rnacentral:rRNA from 1 species